AGCGAACGCUGGCGGCAGGCUUAACACAUGCAAGUCGAGCGGGCCCUUCGGGGUCAGCGGCAGACGGGUGAGUAACACGUGGGAACGUACCCUUUGGUUCGGAAUAACGCUGGGAAACUAGCGCUAAUACCGGAUACGCCCUUUUGGGGAAAGGCUUGCUGCCGAAGGAUCGGCCCGCGUCUGAUUAGCUAGUUGGUGGGGUAAUGGCCUACCAAGGCGACGAUCAGUAGCUGGUCUGAGAGGAUGAUCAGCCACACUGGGACUGAGACACGGCCCAGACUCCUACGGAAGGCAGCAGUGGGGAAUAUUGGACAAUGGGCGCAAGCCUGAUCCAGCCAUGCCGCGUGAGUGAUGAAGGCCUUAGGGUUGUAAAGCUCUUUUGUCCGGGACGAUAAUGACGGUACCGGAAGAAUAAGCCCCGGCUAACUUCGUG
rnacentral:rRNA from 1 species